rnacentral:misc_RNA from 1 species
AACGCAUCUUGCGCUCCUCGGUAUUCCGAGGAGCAUGCCUGUUUGAGUGUCGUGAAAGUCUCUCGACUCUCCCCUCUCUGUGAGGGGUUGGUCGGAUUUUGGACGUUGCCGUCCUGUCGCAGUGACGGCUCGUCUCGAAAUGUAUUAGCCUGUUUCCCAUCUCGGUUCCACAGACGACAUGGCGUGAUAAAAGAAAACUCGCUUGCGUUCGGGACCUUGGGGAAGAGUGGGGCUUACAGUCGUCUCCUCGUGAGACAAAAUGAUACCUCUCGAUCUGACCUCAAAUCAGGUAGGACUACCCGCUGAACUUAA